rnacentral:misc_RNA from 1 species
CGCACAUUGCGCCCUCUGGUAUUCCGGAGGGCAUGCCUGUUCGAGCGUCAUUACACCACUCAAGCUCAGCUUGGUAUUGAGAGGCCGCCCCGGCUGGGGCGCCCCCGAAAAUCAGCGGCGGUGCGGCCGGACUUCCCAGCGCAGUAGCAUAACAAUCUCGCUGCAGCGAAGCCGUCCGCCCCGGCCGGACAACUCUGACUUCCGUCCGCGGAAAUAACGUCUCAAUGGUUGACCUCGGAUCAGGUAGGGAUACCCGCUGAACUUAA